AGAUGUGAGGGCGAUCUGGCUAGGACAUCUGUCACCGGAUUGAUUGCCAGGGUUGAUUCAGCUGGUCUGGCUGGUUAGGCGGGUGUCCCCUUCCUCCCUCCCUGCUCCAUGUGUGUCCCUCUCGAAGCUGUGUGCUCUGUCGAAGAGGACGACCUUCCCUGAUAAAGGAGGACCAUUCUUCAGUCAAGGAUAUAUGAGUUGCUGCGCUCCCCUGCUGGAACUUGCACACAAGCUCUCAAGGUCAGUUUGUAGGAGAAUGUAGGAUAGCCAAGCUUCCAAGACUCCAGACACAUCCAAAUGAGGUGCCGCAUGUGGCAGUCUGCCUUUCUUU
rfam:Equus caballus chromosome 11, whole genome shotgun sequence.